rnacentral:rRNA from 1 species
UACAGAGGGGGCAAGCGUUGUUCGGAAUUACUGGGCGUAAAGGGCGCGCAGGCGGCCUGCUAAGUCGAACGUGAAAUCCCCGGGCUCAACCCGGGAACUGCGUCCGAUACUGGUGGGCUUGAAUCCGGGAGAGGGAUGUGGAAUUCCAGGUGUAGCGGUGAAAUGCGUAGAUAUCUGGAGGAACACCGGUGGCGAAGGCGGCAUCCUGGACCGGUAUUGACGCUGAGGCGCGAAAGCCAGGGGAGCAAACGGG